UACGUAGGGUGCAAGCGUUGUCCGGAAUUAUUGGGCGUAAAGGGCUCGUAGGCGGUCUGUCGCGUCGGUAGUGAAAACUCAGGGCUUAACCCUGAGCCUGCUUCCGAUACGGGCAGACUAGAGGUAUGCAGGGGAGAAUGGAAUUCCUGGUGUAGCGGUGAAAUGCGCAGAUAUCAGGAGGAACACCGGUGGCGAAGGCGGUUCUCUGGGCAUUACCUGACGCUGAGGAGCGAAAGUGUGGGGGAGCGAACAGG
rnacentral:rRNA from 1 species